rnacentral:misc_RNA from 1 species
GUGAGUCAUCGAAUCUUUGAACGCACAUUGCGCCCCUUGGCAUUCCGAGGGGCAUGCCUGUUCGAGCGUCAUGAUCAAAUCUCAAGCCUAGCUUGGUAUUGGGCAUUCGUCUCAUUUUUGCUUGCGACGUGCCUAAAAGUCAAUGGCGAUGCCUCAACGGACUCAAGCAUAGCAGACUGACUAAUGCUUUAGAGGGCUGUUGUAGGUGUUGCUAACAAAAACAAUCAAGUUGGACCUCGGAUCAGGUAGGGAUACCCGCUGAACUUAAGCAUAUCAAUAAGCGGAGGA